UACGAAGGGGGCUAGCGUUGCUCGGAAUCACUGGGCGUAAAGCGCACGUAGGCGGACUCUUAAGUCGGUGGUGAAAUCCUGGAGCUCAACUCCAGAACUGCCUUCGAUACUGAGAGUCUCGAGUCCGAGAGAGGUGAGUGGAACUGCGAGUGUAGAGGUGAAAUUCGUAGAUAUCAAGCGGAACACCGGUGGCGAAGGCGGCCUUCUGGACAGUGACUGACGCUGAGACGGCGAAAAGCGUGGGGAGCAAACAGGG
rnacentral:rRNA from 1 species